CAGAAAGAGUUGGCAGCCUCCAAUUCCUACUUAUCCUGUUAGGCUCAUGUUUUGGUACUUCUGUUUUAUGCUAAAUGUGGAAGUUGGAUUAUGUCCCACAGCUGCAACUUUCUGGGCUCUCAGAAUUGCAGAGAAGACCUGAAGAGCCUUGGGAGGAGGCAUAUUAUUUAUUUCCAAGACAGCAUAAAUCACCAAGUGUCAGUGAGAAAGUGAGGAGGAAAACACAAUUCCAGUUUUGGCCAGAAAGAAGCAUCAGGCACAGCACUGCGAGAAAUCUUCAAAAACAAAGUUUUCUAUGAAUUGAGAAAUUAAGAUAAUGGAGCCACAGAAAUAAAUCCAGCACCAGUGCUUUAGCCUGACAAGAAAUAAACCUUUGACACUUCAGGACAUGGCUCUGAAGCAUCUAGUGCUGGGAGGAAACAUGGAACAUUUGAAGCCCCACUGACUGCAUACAAGAAGACAGCAGAGAAAAGAAGCAACCAUCAUAUGCCUUAAGAAAAUGCUGUCAUUAAACACAGCUAUGCUUUACUUUUGAAGAAGAUACAAGUCCCAAGAAAGAC